GCCGGGAUUCCUGAGCCUGGUACAGGGCAGUCCACUCGAAGAAUGUGGGCCUAGGCCUGGAAAAAAUAGGCUCCUGUCAGCCUGUGGUCCUUGCGGGCCGCGUGGGUUCAAAUCCCACUCCCGGCG
rnacentral:tRNA from 1 species